GACGAACGCUGGCGGCGUGCUUAACACAUGCAAGUCGAGCGGAGCGGCGAACGGGUGAGUAACGCGUGAGUAACUGCCCCCCUCUCUGGGAUAACAGUUGGAAACGGCUGCUAAUACCGGAUAGUGGGGGAUGACUCGCGUGCUAUCAGCUGGUUGGUGGGGUAGUGGCCUACCAAGGCGACGACGGGUAGCCGGCCUGAGCGGUGGACCGGCAAAAUUGGGCUAAGAGACGGCCCAAACGCCGACGGGAGGCAGCAGUGGGGAAUAUGGCACAAGGGGGGAGACGCAGAUGCAGCAACGCGCGUGCGUGAGGACGGCCUUCGGGUGGUAAACCGCUUUCAGACAUGACGCGGUAGUGGCAGAAGAAGCACCGGCUAACUUCGUGCCAGCAGCCGCGGUAAUAC
rnacentral:rRNA from 1 species